UUCAGUAAUGUUGAUUUGACAUUCGCGCGCCGAACGCCGGCUGGACCGAAUGUAUGGUGUUUUUAUCGUAUACCGAAUACAUCCUGGGUAUUUUUUCUUACGUUGCAUUCCUGUAUUAAGCCAUGGAGGUUUUAUUGAAAUUUAUUUUAUUAUGUUUGUACUGCCAAUUGGGGAUUUGUAGUGAGGUAAAAUAUAAGGCGGCAGUGUUACCCGGUAACUUAAGAAAUGGUGUCAAAGAUUAUUUAGCUCAAAUGAAAGAAAUUUCCAACCAGAAUGUGGAUAUUGUACUAUUGUCUUCCGAAAUUU